GGCAUGGUGGCUCAGUGGUUAGAGCGUCCGCCUCAUGAACAGGAGGUCGUGGGUUCAAACCACGGCCGUGUCA
rnacentral:tRNA from 1 species